rnacentral:rRNA from 1 species
UACGUAGGGGGCAAGCGUUGUCCGGAUUUAUUGGGCGUAAAGAGCGUGUAGGCGGUCAGGUAGGUCUGCUGUGAAAACUCGAGGCUUAACCUCGAGCUGUCGGCGGAAACCAUCUGGCUAGAGUCCGGAAGAGGAGAAUGGAAUUCCCGGUGUAGCGGUGAAAUGCGCAGAUAUCGGGAAGAACACCCGUGGCGAAGGCGGUUCUCUGGGACGGUACUGACGCUGAGACGCGAAAGCGUGGGGAGCGAACAGG